rnacentral:lncRNA from 1 species
AUGGAAUGCAACAAGGAUGGUCAUUGGAUGUUCAUACACUUUGAGGAAGCAACACUGGGAAAAUUCUCCUUGAAGCAAAACGCAAGUGAUGGUCAUGGAUCUGCAUACCUGACAAAAAGAUUUUUAGGAAUUUCAUAUUUGCUGAUAGAAUACGUUGAAGAAAAAAGGAAAUUUCCAAAGGUCCUGACAAACAUCAAGAUUGAAUACAAAAAGAAGAAAACUCCGUUGGUACUAACCCCCAUGUCAUUAUGGAAAUAUCUUCUGAGAAGCUCCUCCUGGAGGUAG